GGCCCUUGUAUUCGCACAAGUAAAUAGGCAAAUGUACGCUUUUCCUCCAACUCCAUUUUUAGUUUUGAUGCUCAAUGCACCAGUAAAGUCAACGCCUGUUACAGUAAACGGCGGCGAAUCUCUUAGUCUGUCUGCUGGUAGAGGCGGCGGGUCCGGAGUAGCAUACGGUCUUCCUGUAACCUUUCGGCAAGUAACACAUUUGUGAAUAAUUGUUUUCACAUAUUGUCGGAUUGCUGGAAUCCAGUAAAACUGUCGUAAAGAAGUGACAGUACUUUCUAAUCCAGAGUGAAGUAGUCUAUUGUGGGCAUCCAUUAUAAUUAGAGUUGAUAAUGUAUCCUUAUUUGGCAAUAAUAUCG
rnacentral:lncRNA from 1 species